rnacentral:lncRNA from 1 species
CUUGAAUGUAAAUCAUCAAUCUAGAGGCUGCAAGCUCACACAUCAAAUAUAUUGAGCAAACAAUUUUAAAGGCGUUUUCUAGUAACUUAUUUUCUUAUUUGAAAUCAUAAUGGGUACUUAUGGCUUGUGCAGGCUUAAGGAUGCAGCGUAUCAUCACUAUUAUUAUGGAGAAAAAGGUUACCAUCUCAGGCUUGGGAUUUAAGAUAGAAGGAGCGGUGAACAAGAGCUGGAAGGAAAAGGAUGCUGUUCUUGAUAUUGUCAGUGGAGAAGUCCAGUCUGGGGCCAAAACCACAAAAGUGAAGCCUUACAAAACCAGAAAACCAAGCAGAAAGAUCUUCAGCUGAUAAUGCCCUCUUUCCUCAGUAUGCAGACAGCAUUUUCCUUGAUAGAUGUAUGCAUUCCUGUGGAAAAGACUCCACCAUUCUGCUGACAUCUGAUGCUUGACAGGCUCUGGACAGAUGGAAAAAAUUGAGGAAUCAAACCAGAACAAGUUGCACUGGGACUAUUAUGUGCAAAGAAGCAAGCUCUGCACUGAGAAGGUAACAAAGGAGCAGGCCAAAUACUAGAAGGUAUUUUCUUCCGAGAGCUGAUGCAACCAUGCCAGAGCCUUGCACGAGGAAAUGAGGAACUGUGGGUGUGCUUUUCAUGGGCCACGAGAGGAGGUGAAGCAACCUGCUUUGAAGAGUGGAAAGGAGCGCUUUGCCUAGUUUGGAAGACUGGUGACAUGAAAGGGCGGAGGGUUAAAAAGACUCUCAGCAUGAUUUUACCAUCAGCACAGCUGACUUCAGUUCUUCAGAAGGGCAAGUACAAUGAAAUCUGAAUUAAGAUCUCUAAUUAAGCAGGCACACCAUUUUGGAGAUGCUCGUUGUGGCCAGUGGUGGUGAUGUUCAGCCUUGUAACAGUCUCCUCUCUUUGAAGCGCGCUCAGUGAAGGGCAUGUUGUAAUCUAAGAUUUGUUAGCAGAAAGAGGAAUAUUCAUUAGAAUCAGCUUGACUGUGACCUAUGCUUUGUAUUUCUUUUCAUAAAACGUUUCAUUGUUGAUGAGAUUUCAGUAAUUUAUGGUAAUGUGAUUUGUGAAGUGAUUGGAAAGUAAAGAAAUUUGUGGCUGUGUCUGAAUGACUGAGCUCAAUCUCAUGAUCAAGUACUGUGAAUGUCUGAACUUUGGAUCUUAUUGUGUCAGGCCCAUCCAGGCAGCAGGUAAUUUUCUAAUGUUAAUAAUCCACUUCCUUUCCUAUUUACAGUGUAAAUUGCUGACACAUCUUCCUGAAGGUCUUUUAAGAGAGGAAAAUAUUAGUGAUAUACAAAGUAUUAUAAAAUAAUGACCCUCCCAAGCAAAGGAAGGGGGUGGAGGGGGAACACACUACAAGGUUAUUGCCAAGUAGAGGCUACAUUGAGGCUGCAUUGCUGUGAAAUGGUGCUGCCUUCUGUGUGUGCUUGGAUAUCCCCUGAACACGGGGAGAGGAAGAGAAGACAGGGAAGGUGAGCUUUGGGGACAGUGUGAUCUGUCGGUUAUACCAGAAUUGGCCCUUGAUUAGAAGAGAAGGAAUGCACUUCUUGAGGAUGUCACAGCUCGCUGCUUGUGGAAUGAAGUGGCAAGGACUGUUUGUGUGAAUGCCUUUCAUGUGACCAGCAUACAGUGGAGGUGGUGCUGGUGGGGCACUGAGCCAGAGCUGUGAGAAUGGUUCCUAUGCUUUGCAAGAGGCCCAUGGCAUGAUUUCACCUUCCCUGCAGCACUCACCAUCAGUCUUGACAUAGUGCAUGCUUUCAAUUAAUUAUUUUUAUUUUUCUUUGCUCAAAUACAGUAUUUAGCAUUUGCUUGUAUUUCAAACACUGAAUGAACUGUAUCACACUACUAUACCUUUCUGCAGCUAUAAGGCUGGUUAUGGAGAGUAGUGUAAGAGAAAUGCACUGGGACUUGCUCAGCUUUUUUUGUGAGCUUGCUAGGAUCCAUGGAUUUUCUGAGUCAGAGGUGAUAUGUUUGUGCUUAGCAGUCUUUGAUAGUUACUAUAAUACAUUUGUUUCCUUAGUCUCAGAGAGCCUGUGAGAGCCCUUGUGAGUUCUGAUAUAACAGAGAAGAAAAUGCAGAUCCUGGUUAAAAGUUAUUGAUUGCUUAGAGGGCCUGGAAUGUCACUGCUUAUUUCCAUAUGAAUAAGUUGUUAAGUGUCUAUCCAUAUGUAUUAAUCAUUGAUGGAAUGAAACAAAAUAUUUAAAAUAUGUAUUUUUAGACUCAGCUAAAUUAGCAAUGUUCAUAACAUAUGUAUGCAUUCUUGAGAAGCUUGUUCUAUUGGAUUUAAAUUAUUAAUAUUUGCAACAAUAUUAUUAGUGUUUACUCUUGCAUUGUAUUGGAUUUAUAUGCUAAUAAUGCUACUUUUUCAUGUACUUGAAGCAUCUGAAUUGCUGUCAGCUCUUUUUCUGAGGGUAGUCUCUUCCUGACCUUUCUGGAGGAGCAUAACAGCUCAAGGGGAAAUAAAGACCCUGCCUAAAGCCAGCAGACAGGAGUUUACAGGCAAAAACUGUUCCUAAGCUUUUUUUUCCUGUGACUGGAGAAUGAAUUUGUUGGCUCUGUAUGCUUUGUAACAUGUGUGAGUGACAGAAUGUGGCUUAGAUUUAGACAGUGUUAAAUCCUGCUGUUCAGUGACCUGUUCAGGUAAUACAGUAAAGCAAUGACACAAGGCCAUGCCAGUAUGACAAUCUUGUUCCUGCCUUAGUUUCCUUCCCAAUAGAAGAGGAAAAAAAUUGCUACUCGUUAAAGUAGCAUAUGAAGAUCUAUUUAUACUUCUUGUUUUUCCUGCUACCAGCCUGUCCCUACUCUUUUGUAUUCCUCUCUUUGGUUUUUAAUUCUGUCUCACUUCAAGCUAACCUAGGUUGUCAUGUUAACUUGACUCAAAACAACAUAAAGCAGCUGUAAUUGAAGUGUAUUUUAUAGAGGAAACAAAUACUGUUAGAUCAACUGAAGUAGCAUGUAGGCAAUUAGGAGUUUUUUUCACUGAUCCCAUGAAUUGGUUUAAUAAAAAGCAAUGUACCACUACAUUAAGCUUUCCCUUCCUGUAUCCUUAAGCCAUGAUAGCUCUUCUCUUGUGCAUAGCUAACAUGUAGUUUUAUGUACUAUUUUUCCAAGCAGCCCUGAAUGUGUUUGCUGUGUGAAAUGUCCUUGUUGGUCUGUAUUUGUGUGCAUGGGAACUUGUAAGGUGCUCUCUUUUCCACUGCAGAGAUCUUAAAUUUAGCUCUAGUUCUUCUGGCAGUGUAGACUAGACCAGGCUGGUAUUAAGCAGUAUUGAAGAGAGCUGAAUUAUUCAGGAUGGAUGAUGAGUUCUGUUUUCUUUCUCAAUAGAAUUAUGAGUAAAACAACGCAACCCCUAUUUUUCUGGGUCUUAUCAGCUAUGUGUUUUGUUGAUCUUGUGUUGGAUGUUGUAAGAAGUUGAGGGAGUUUUCCCCUGUCACAAUAUGACUUUCAGACUGUUCCAAAACGUGCUUGAUCUUACCUUCAUUGACUUCCUUUUCUAUCGUAACAGUUGAACAAGGAUUUCUUCAGGAGCAAUAAUCAAAUCAGUUUUUAAUGAGCUAUUUAAUUAAAGGCUAAUUGAGGUGAAUUCAUUAAAGAUUUCCAAAUUAUGCUUAUCAGGGUAGCUAUUUUUUAAGAUAAGUUUUAAAUAUUUAUUUUGUACUGUGUUGUUUGAUCAUAAAAGCACACAGGAAAUUAUUUUAAAAUGCCUAAUUAAAAAUGUCUAAUACUGUGCAUUGUUUUUUUUUUUCCUGAUACCCCAUCAGGGCAGUCAUCAUGUCUGAGUUUAAUACAUCACUAAUGUUGAGCUAAUAUAAGAAGCAAAAAAAAGCUAUUAGAUGGCAUUCUGGAGUCUAAGAUGCUGAAGAAUUGAAGAGUCUGUUGGGAACCAAUGGAUGUAUUGUAUUGGUUUUUUGUUUUCUUUUACUUUCAGCCUUAUUUUUGGGUUACAUGUUGACUAUAUUUCAUGUGUCUUUUCCUAACUUUGCUGAGUAUUCUCAGCAGCAGGCAAACUGCAGGGAAUAUCACUACAUGAGGGCAGUAUAAAUCUUUUCUUUGUUAGAUCAGUCAGUCACUUAAUGAAUGAUUACAUUAAUUAAUCAAUCUGGUAGAUUUCUCUUUCUGGGAGUACUUCUUAUCAUCUUGUAUCAAAGCGACUUUGGAAAAUAAGCACUCUAGCUUACUUUAAUCUUUUUUGUCAUUGACAGAAACACCGAAGUAGUUGACCAGAAAUGUGGGGAGAGAGGAAGUGAAAAUAGAACAGGAAAUCUGAGGCAGACAAUUCCCAGAAUUAAUCUGCAUUUUCUAGAGCUCCCAAGAUCUGUUAUCAAUAAAUGGGUCAUCAGAAUAAAAACCUCUCAAGAAAAGUGCUACAGGGACCCAGAACAUCUUAAAGCAAACACUGCUUCUUUUUUUUUCUCCUAUCACAAUUCUUUUCUAUUUUCCAUUCAUUCAAAUGGGAGAAGUUGUCAGCCCAGUCAACUUUUCCUGGUAGAGGUACCUGUGAUUUAAUAGUGCCUCAUUAGAUGCAUGAUAUUUCCUGCAGCUGAUGUUUAGGGAGGAGAUUAUCAGCAUAGCAGUGGCAGCAGGAGCUGAAACGAAGUGAAAUACUGUUGGUUAUAGAUCCAUCAGUUUCAUUCUGCACCAUAUUAGUUUUGAGACUGAUAGUUCUGCCAUCUAGGCUUGUGGUCUGUAACUGUAGCAAAUUACUUUGUGGUCUUGUACUGUUAGUUGGGUUUUGUUGUAUUGGUGCAGAGACAGUUCCUUCCUGCAGUCCUGAUUGGAACAGACGCAGUUCCACUGCAAGUUGGGAGAAUCUUUCUGGGAGACCUAUCUCCAUCAAAUUUAAUGUGGUAAGACUGAGCAGUGUAUUUUGGCUUAACAGAGGAUGAAAUCAUAGUAUUUGGAAGUUGAGUAUUUGUUUUUCUCAAAUAUCGUCUUAUUUCUACAAAUGAAGGAAUUUUCAGUUUUGAUAUACAAACUGAAAAAUUGGCAAAAAUGUAGUUUUUGUAUACACUUGUAAAAUGACCGUAGUGCUUUACCUCGCCUUUGCAACCCCUUUUCUGUUUUUACAUGGUGUGUCAUUGAGACUACACAAGAUUUGAAUUAUAUUUAAGAUACUUAAGAUAAAGAUAGUUGAAAAAAGGAACAUUUUUAAAAAUGUUAGGUGAAAUCUCAAGCUCCUUGUAAAUUUGAAGUCAUCCUAAAUCUUCUGAAGGAGCUUUCAUGUCCUUCAUAGUAGGUUGGUAAUGUUGUAUCCUUUGGAAAAGUGACAACUCUGAGUGAAAAUCAUACAUUCUGUGCAUCUAUGGCAAUCUAAGUUCUGGAUUCCCAGAAAUUGAUCAUAUCACUGUCGUGCUUGCCUACUUUGCCUAUCCAGCUUUUUCUAAGAUAAGAGACCAGAGGGCCUGCCAUGUGGUUAUGGGAUUUCUUAAAGAGAGUGUAAGAGCUGCAUCAGUGGGGUAACCCUUGUGCGGCACUGCAUCCUGUCGUGGGGUCGGCUGCAGCAGAUGGCAAUUUGUGAUAUGUCUGUAGAUGUAUCUGCAGAUUGGGCCUUUUCCAUUACAUCCUCUCAGCUCCAGUAAUGCACGGAGUAGUUGCUUCUUAAGCUUUGAAGAUGGACAGUCGCUCCAGGAAUUUAUCUAAUUCCUUUUGUAAAAAUUUAUACUCUUGGCAGGAGCAUCAUGCUGGGGUAAUGAGCUGUAUGAUUUAAUUAUGAGUUGUGAAGAAAAAGUCCUUCUUGGUUGUUUUGAACUGCUUGCUCAUAAUUUCAUUUUAUACCACUUUUGUCUUGAAUAAUGGCAAAUAAUGAAAAAUCAUUGCCUAUUCACUAUCUCCGUACUACUCAUCGUUUUAUAGACCUCUAUCAUAUUUCCUCUCAGCCACUUGUUUUCCAGAAUUACCGCAUGUAGCUUUCCUUCCAUGAAAGGCAUACCAUUCCUCUGAUCGAACUCGUUGUUCUGAUUUCCCCUUCACUCUGUUCUUCUACGCUGCCUUUGAGUGUUACUGACCUCAGCUAUAUACGCUGUUUGAGAUGUGAGUACACCACGAUGAGAAACAUAGCGAUGCUUUUUGUUUCAUUGCCUAUUCCUUUCCUAAAAUUGAUUACAUGAUGUGUGGCAUUUUGACAGCCAUUAAAACAGUGAGCUUAGGACACUUGACUCUUUUUUCUUACGUGUGUUAGAUCCAUCACUUUUUAUGCAAAAGUAGAAUUUAAUUCUUCUAAAUAUAGUCCUUCAUUGGUCUGAAUUUAUUUACAUUAAUUUGCACUUCCUGUUCUAGUGGAAAGUCGUAUUUCUUCUUGCAUCUCUUCAAUGAAGUGACAGUCCCAACUACAAUAACAAUAAGAAAAAAAUCUAAUACUCGAACAUUUAAAUACUGCUCUAAUUUUAUUACAAAGAACACAAGUGCUACUUUGUUGGCAAGCUCUGUCAUACUACCUACUAUUGUGUAUACUUUUCCUUAUCAUUAUGGAUAUGGUGAGCAAUAAUGAUUGUUCAGUACCUCUCCGAUGAAAGGGCCUUUUUAAGUUGGGUAUAAUGUCUGACAGCAUUUAUUUGAUAUUGCUGAUAGCUUAAAUAAGGAGUUUCCCAUUACAGUCAACAGCUCAACAGUCUUGUAUUAGAAUUCUUAGGUAAGUACCAGCUAGACCUAGUAAUUUCUUACUGCUUGUUUUACCUCCAAUACUGCGUUUUAAUUAUGUUCAAAACUUUAUUGCUACCUAUUGUCAGGCCUCAUUUAAAGGGCAACAUACUUCAAGUGAUUGACUACUAUAGUAACAUAUGUAUGUACGUUUUUAUUAUUUAUUCUUGAAUUUUUAUUUAUACUUUCUCUACUGGUUUUCUAUUUUUAUUAUAGUAAUAUGUGAAUGUAUAUAUUUUUAUUAUAAGCUGUUUGUCAGAGUAAUGCAGGUGUUCUCCUUUGGCUCCAGCCACAAUAUUAAAACCACUUGCAGUGGAAAGAAUUGUGGAAAUAAGUGGGAAGGAAUUGAAAUUUUCAAUUGCUUUUGGAUGCCUGGUGUUGCAGGGUGGCCACAGCAUUGCUGUUGUAUUGAGUUGGCUUUCCUAUAUACUCAUUUUCUUGGUAAAGCAGUCAUGAUGAAUGCAAAUUUUUUGGAGAAGUAUUACCAGCUGUCAGGUAUAUCAUUGCAGUAAAAGGUUGUUGGUUUUUUUUUUCCUGUUUUUGGCCUUUUGGUAAAGUCACUGAAGGAACAUGUAGGAACAGAUUUAAGAACAUCGCAAAUUGAGAGAUUAUUUGGGUAGAAGAGGGAGGUGUUUUGAUCCAAUGUGAGAGGAGGAUCAAUACCAUAAUCUGUGCAUUUCUAAAUAUGUUUCACUACUUAUUAUUGGUAAUGAUUUAUUAUUUGCUUGGAACAGAAUGAGCUCAGAGUCAAUGAUUAUCUAUUACAGUUUCUUGUGACAAAUUAAAACUUCAAGAAAAGAAGUGAUGGGCAGCAGAUUAAAAACUCAGCUUGGGAAUCACUUUAUUUUGAAAAGCGGUGAGCUAGUCAAAAGUAAUUCUCUGUGCCUUACUGCAUGAGUGCAUGAGCUCUCCAACUCUGUUUUAAGGCAAAAUUCAU